CAACCAUUCUUAAUUUUAUAUAGUCAAGUUCGAGGACGUUAACGCGGCAUCUCCACAAGAUCGCAAUGGGGCUUUUGUGUGCAAUCGCUGUUAAUGCUAUUGGAGGUGCCGUUAUCUACGCUACAGGCGGGCUAGGUGCUGCCUGGGUGGCGCCUAUGCUGGGCUUCAGCAGCGGAGGUAUAGUUGCCGGCAGCACAGCCGCUGCCGCGCAGGCCUACUACGGAAAUGUGGCGGCUGGGAGCAUCGUCUCUCAGAUGACGGCCAUAGCUAUGGCAUCUCCUACACCUUAAAAACCCAGAUUGGUUGCCAGUUUCUUAAGGAAAUUCAAAUAAAUGGGUGUGUAAUCA